UACGAGGGCGCAAGCGUUGUCCGGAAUUAUUGGGCGUAAAGAGCUCGUAGGCGGUCUGUCACGUCUGCUGUGAAAACCCGGGGCUUAACCCCGGGCUUGCAGUGGAUACGGGCAGACUAGAGGCAGGUAGGGGAGAAUGGAAUUCCCGGUGUAGCGGUGAAAUGCGCAGAUAUCGGGAGGAACACCGGUGGCGAAGGCGGUUCUCUGGGCCUGACCUGACGCUGAGGAGCGAAAGCGUGGGGAGCGAACAGG
rnacentral:rRNA from 1 species